UACGUAGGCAGCGAGCGUUGUUCGGAGUUACUGGGCGUAAAGGGUGUGUAGGCGGUUGUUUAAGUUUGGCGUGAAAUCUCCCGGCUCAACUGGGAGGGUGCGUCGAAUACUGAAUGACUUGGAGUGCGGGAGAGGAAAGUGGAAUUCCUGGUGUAGCGGUGAAAUGCGUAGAUAUCAGGAGGAACACCGGUGGUGUAGACGGCUUUCUGGACCGUAACUGACGCCGAGACACGAAAGCGUGGGUAGCAAACAGG
rnacentral:rRNA from 1 species